GAUGAACGCUGGCGGCGUGCCUAAUACAUGCAAGUCGAGCGAACAGAUGAGGAGCUUGCUCCUCUGACGUUAGCGGCGGACGGGUGAGUAACACGUGGAUAACCUACCUAUAAGACUGGGAUAACUUCGGGAAACCGGAGCUACUACCGGAUAAUAUAUUGAACCGCAUGGUUCAAUAGUGAAAGACGGUUUUGCUGUCACUUAUAGAUGGAUCCGCGCCGCAUUAGCUAGUUGGUAAGGUAACGGCUUACCAAGGCGACGAUGCGUAGCCGACCUGAGAGGGUGCUCGGCCACACUGGAACUGAGACACGGUCCAGACUCCUACGGGAGGCAGCAGUAGGGAAUCUUCCGCAAUGGGCGAAAGCCUGACGGAGCAACGCCGCGUGAGUGAUGAAGGUCUUCGGAUCGUAAAGCUCUGUUAUUAGGGAAGAACAAAUGUGUAAGUAACUAUGCACGUCUUGACGGUACCUAAUCAGAAAGCCACGGCUAACUACGUG
rnacentral:rRNA from 1 species